rnacentral:tRNA from 1 species
GCCCUGGUGGCAAAAUGGUUAAGCACUCAGCUGCCAAUUGAAAGGUUGGUGGUUCAAAUCCACCCAGUGACU